rnacentral:tRNA from 1 species
GAGGGUAUAGCUCAGUGGUAGAGUGCAUACCUAGCAUGCAUGAGGUCCUGGGUUCAGUUCCCAGUACCUCUA